ACAGCACUUUGUUUCCAACCGC
rnacentral:siRNA from 1 species